GUCGGGCGUGGUGGCUCACGCCUGUAAUCCCAGCACUUUGGGAGGCCGAGGCUGGUGGAUCACCUGAGGUCAGGGUUCCAGAACAGCCUGACCAACAUGGUGAAACCCUGUCUCUA
rfam:Homo sapiens chromosome 5, GRCh38 reference primary assembly.